rnacentral:tRNA from 1 species
GGCAUGAUGGCCGAGCGGUCUAAGGCGACGCACUCAAGCUUUGCGUUGGGAUUUAUCCCGCGUGAGUUCAAAUCUCACUCAUGUCA